rnacentral:lncRNA from 1 species
UCUUCCUCACGGCCUCAAAACGGGUGAUGCUAGGGUUUCGCCCAGCCCCAGCCUCGGCCGCCGCUCGACCUCGGCGACCGCCGCUCCUUGGCUCCCCGGCCGCCGCUAGACCUCCACGGCCGUGCCUUGACCUCCUUGGCUCCUCUGCCGCCACUCGACCUCCUUAGCUCCUCGGCCGCCGCUCGACCUCCACGGUCGUGCUUCGCCAACACUUGCUUCCCUGUAUCCCGCCCUUCAUUGAUAUGGACUCAUGCUCCUCAGCCCUCAUGGUGUUGUGCUACGCGCGUGCUCUGCAGCCCCUCCUCCACGGUCUCGUACAGGAAGGACCAGGGCGAGUCGUGGUUACUAACGUGUGUGGGUGCGGAUGUGGGUAAGAUUUUCAUUGAUUUCUUCUCAGUUGGAAACUGUCCAGCCAGUAUUGAUUUCACGUUUCAAUUUUCUUGUUGUUUUCACUGAAUGAAUUAUAGGAACACACCUAUCAUAUGCCCUAGCGGUGUAGGCCUGAACACAUGUCAUAUGUUGGAGUAGAUGCAAGUAUAUGAAUGAUGAAUGGGUGCUGCCUUAAAUCAUCAGCACAUUAGUGGUGCCCGAUCAAAGUCAAACGCUCGCCCUGGACAGCCUGUUCGCCAAAGUUGUUACGCCGAGCUGUAGCUGCUGGGCGCCCAUCUAGGCGCUCUGCUAGGUGUGGCGUCACUCCUGUUCCCGGCAACAGGUACUUCUCUACCCGUCAAUUACAAAUCCAUCCAUCCAACUUCAAUUUUGAUAUAUUUGAUGUAUAAUGCAUAAUGAAUCUUACUUAUGUUGAAAAACUUAGACAUAUAAGAAUGUCUGCAAGCAAACCAUGUACCACACAUUUUAGAAGGUUUAUUUUUCUACAUUUCUAUUUUUUUCAACAUAUGUACUAGCUAUGUAUCAAUAAGUAUUUCUACAUUUUUUAUUUGAUACCAAAUUUUAAGGAACGUUAAUCUGAUGUAUUUUUACAGUAAUCAGCAUGUUGACUUGACGCUUGCCUGUUCGCAACAUACCUUGGUAUUGUCGAAGAGUUGAAUGAUUGUAAAGCGGAUAUACCAUUAAUGACAAUGGUGUGGAUGGAUUACCACGCGUGUAUACGCCUCUUUCUUCCCUUGCUCAUGCCAACUGAACGUGCUUCAAAAGUCCUCAGCCAUGACAAUUUCGUAUUUUUGACCUAUUGACAAUGGCAUGUCGUGCAAACUAUCCUCCUAAUUAGGAGCCAAUCAGCCACGCAGAUUUAGAGGGUGCUUGGAUCCAAGGGACUUAUUUUAGUCUGACUAAAAAUAGUCUCUUUAAGAGGCUAAAGUUCCAAGCACUCCUAACUAAAAAGAGGCUAAAACUAGUCUUGAGACUAAAAAUUUUUAGUCAGGGGUACCCCUACUAAAAUAUGGAUUAGUCCUCUCUCUCCUCAUUUAACUCCUCUCCUUUAACACAUACGAGUUCUGGAUUGGAGGAUUUGAAGAAUAAUAAAUGCCCAUUAACUUGAUUUUAGUCUCUUGAGGCUAGCAAGUUUUAAUCCCACUAUUUUUAGUCAUGGGACUAAAACGUAUCCAAGCACCCUCUUAAUUUCCCACAACCCGCUUUUAAUUAGCCACGCAAAUUUAUCCCACAAUCCAGGUUUUAAUGACGCUCAGCCAUGCAGAUUUAAUUUCCCACAAACUGCUUUUAAUCAGCCAUGCGGAUUUACUACAAAACCGCUUUUAGUGGAGCCAUGCAGAUAUCACAAUCCCGCGUGUGCAGCAAUCAGUAUUAAUUUUCAGGAGUCAAUUAUUCCCUUUGUUUCCCACCGGGACCAACACAUCUCUAUCUUUCGUGAUUUUGGAGGCCGCCUAUUGAUACUCGGAAUAGUAAAUCAUAAACAUAUAAAGCUGGUGAUUUUUUUAUAAAGGGGUGUGGUGGUACAAUUUAAUUCGUACAUGAAUCCUCUCCCAGCAAAAGAAUAAGCUGGUCCGUAGGAAUUGUGAGAUUGUGAGUUCGAGUCUUAUACGAAGGAGGAACAACAUUGGCCUGAAACAUUUUUCCGAUGAAUGUUAGGCCCAGCAGCUGGAAAUGGGAAAAAACCGUAAAAGUGUAUUAGGACUUGGAAAGAAAGCGUAUUGUGACGAUGAACCCAAGGAUUCAAUCCGUGCUUUAUUAUUAUUAGGAAAAGAAGUAUAGUUUUGUAUGGUUUCUUGUACAUAACUUCAUGUAUCAUGUAUCAUGUAGUAGUAUGAUAUUUGUAUGCAUAUGACAUGCCUAGGAGUCCUCCUAAUUAUUCCAUAAAUUCUAGAAGUUAGAUGUGAUUGAAUGGAUUUAUUAUAAGUAUUUCUUUUAUUUAUUUAUUAUAUUUGUACGUUGUCUCAUGUGAUAUUUUUGCGUAGGAUUAUUGUUGAAUGUUCGUCAUGCUUAUAAUUCUGUAGGAUUAUUCUAGGCUUUGCUUUGUUCAUUGAAUCAUGAAUUACUUUAUGUAUUAAUUAUCUUUUUUUUCUUAGCAUGGAUAUAUCUUAGAUAUGGUUCACAUAUUCAUUUCCAUCCAUGUCACGUGUUAUUUUAUUGGUUUGAAAUCAUUGUCAUGUGUAUGAUGGAUGUUAUAUAUUGUUUACGUGUCGUUGCAUAGAUCCUUUAUGCUAGAAGUCAAAUAAAAUGCUUUCCUGUUUGCGAAUAAAUCCAUUGUGGUUCUUUGUCGCAUAGCAUAUUUUUUCCUAGUUGUUCCUUUGUUCUGUAGAUGAUUGUUAUGCAAGAUUACGUGGUUGGUUUAUUUAGGUUAUGUUUACAUUUCUAUCACUAGUUUAUUCUUGUGGCACAGAACUUAGCUUAUUACAUCCUGGCAAUUAUCAUUUUUGUUUAUUUAUAUUGGUUUAUUACCAUGCCAUGUUAACAAUUGCUUCAAGUAGAAUGAUUGUUUUGAUUGUCUACUACCAUGUGCUAUAGCACUGCGAGUAUGUACUAUUGUGUGAUUGCAUAUAUGGUUGGCCUUCAUUAAGAUGAUUGACAUGAUAGUAGUUUGUUGAUCUCAUACUUUCUUUGAUUAAAUAACUCCUUGCUUGAUCAACACUAUGCCAUGUUGUUAUGAUUGUAUGCCUAGAUUGCAUAGUGUGUCAGUGUAUCAACUCAUGUUAUAGAUCAUUCCAGGUUGUUAUGUUAUGUCUUUACAAGUGUAAGUUUGUCGUGGUGGGCGCACGUCAGAUGCCAAGGGAUGGAUAAAGGGAGGAGGAGGCUCGAGGGCACGGGUGGGCUCCAGAGGCAAGGUCGGCAUGAGUGAGCGAGGGACGCAAGACAUACCCAGGUUUGGGGCUCUCCGGAGAGAUAAUAUCCAUAGUCCUGCCUAGUGUGGUUUAUAUGGUACGGUACAGAGUCGCUCCUAGAGCUGUUUGGAGGAAGAAGGAAGACAGGCCAAGGCUCAGGUUGUUCCCUCUCCUGGUGUGUGUGUGUGUGUGUGUGUGUGUGUGUGUUCUACUGAUGAUCUUAUCGCCCCGUGCAUGGAGGCCUCCUAGGGG